rnacentral:tRNA from 1 species
GGAUUGUGGCUCAGCGGUAGAGCACUCGUCUAGUGUGUGUGAGGCUCUGGGUUCGAUCCUCAGCACCA